GAAUGGCUUGACAUGGGUAGGACGGCACCGCAGAAUGGCUGCAUGGGUAGGUCGGCACCCCAUAAAGGCCGUACCGGGUAGGUCGGGCACCCCAUAAAUGCCUGGCAGUAUGUAUGUUAUGUGAUUGUGUGGUAUGUGGUAUGAUGGGGGAACUCACUAAGCUUCAUGCUUACGGUUUUCAGUUUUGGUUUCAGGUACUUCGUGUUUAAAGGAAAGGAGACUGGUUGAUCGCAGCGCAUCACACUAUGGUUUUCCGCACAUGAGAUCUUGGGGAUUGCACUCUAAUAUUAUUUUAUGAUAACACGUUCGAUUAUUUCUACUUUGGUUUUGACAUGACAUGAUAUUACGGAUGUUUUAUUACACUGUUGAUUUGAUAAUGAUGUAUUUAAAAAUGAAAUUUUUGGCCUGUAUUUUUGGGAUGUUACAAGUUGGUAUCAGAGCCUUGGUUUGAGGGAUUCGGACAUACUCUCGGGUGUGUUUGAACUCAAACUAAGGGCUUGGUAUGAAAGUUUUCAAAAGUGAAACCAUUUUAUAAAAGGAGUUUGAAAAGAAUCUGAAAAGAGAAAAGAACUUUGAGAAAAACAAAGUGUGUGAUGCGUGCAAUCAGCCGAGCUCAAGUAAGUUUUCCCCAAGAUAACCAUACAUGUUAUGAUAUGAUAUGAUAUGAUUAUGAGAACUGCAUGCUAGAUUAGGGCUAAGGAUCUAGGAGGAUGCCUUAUAUGCCUAUUGUAUGUGCUUGUAGACUUCCAUGCUAGUACAUAUCAGUCAGUGAUAGGAUAACCUGUUUAGGUUAUACCUGAUCGUAUGAGCCUUUGAAUUGCAUGUACAGAUUCCUGAUUAGAGGAUAGAAUGAUUUGAUUGAAAUAUGAUGGUUAGAGUUUCCAUUGUCUGAAUGCUGCUUGCUUUGUGCUUUGUGGGACUUUUAGUAAUGUGAGCUAACUAUUAAGUGAAUAUGCUAAGUCACAUGUGGCACAGGCUGGAUAAUCUCAGAGUGAUAGAUUUGACCCUAUUGCGCAGCUCUUGUCUGAGUCCAACCGUUAUAGGGAUGAGUCUGCUACUUGAAGGAUUAUCUGAUCUCUGAUGCAUGUGGCUAUAUUCAUGAGGUAGCUAGUUGACAUUACUGGGAAUCUUUCGGCAGCUAAGGAUUGGGUGAGUUCGGGAUCCUAGGGAAGCCUAGGAUAUAUUUCAGUGAUUCAGUAGUGAGGCUCAGUUAGACUUGGGUGUACUAGUUGAGGAAGUGACUUGGAGGAUGUGGGAGGAUUGCUGAGGAAAGUAUGGAUAGGUGUGGAAGGUAGUAUUGGGCCUGUACUACUGAAAGCACAAGAUCCAUACUCGAAUCAGCGAGAGUCUUGGAGAAUCUAAGAAGCUUCAGGGAAGAUUUGUGACCCAGUUUGGGGACAGAGGAUGUUCCAGUUGUUGCAGCUUAACCAUUGGCAAGCGAGCUAGUGAGCGUGACAGGGUGUCAGACCCUGAAGGGUACGAUUCCCAAGAGUUGCAAAUGCGGGAUCGAUUUGGGAGCACCCUGGAAAGAGAGAUGCGUGCCAGGUGCGUAUAGUAGAGGGUCCCGGGAAGAGACGCAUGACUUCUGAUCAUCGGGUGAAAGGCCAGCGGGGCUUGAGUUAGUGCAGAGAAAGUACAUGAGGGAGUUUGUCACUCCAAGCGUUCAGGCUGCUACAGGGUAGCAGGAUUGGUAAUGUUAGCAGAAGGGGAUCAGUAUUCCUCCAGAUGUUGCGGGUAUGUCAUCUUAUUAGAUGGAUAUUGGGAAUACGUAUCGCUUUGGGAUUGCGAGUGAGUUUGGAUAAGUCGGAUCUCGAGUCAGUUUUCUGCUAGUGUUCGGUUAUCAAGGACCGUAUAUGGCAUCUUGCAUGCCUGAAGGUCCUUGAUGAACCUACAGAGGGACGUAUCUUGUGGAGUGGGGUCCUCGCACACCGUUAUCAUUUCGGAUCUUUGUCAGAAUCUAUGCAGGAGUAUUAUUUUAAGGAUACUCGAUCAGGGUUGGAGUGAUUGUUCUCCAAUGAAGUCAGCGUUCAGAGGUUCUAUCCUUGUUCAAGUAUGGUCAGCAAUUGUCUAUGGAUGAAUUUUGGAGUUCAAGGCACUACCGUUGCUAGGACAGAGCUGGUGACAUGAAAAGGAUAAUGUUAGUCACGGGUGUUAGAUGCAAAAGUGGUUGGUCAUAGCAUGUUCAAGAGAAUUGUAUUAUCGCAUGGGCUGUGCUCGGUCAGAGUCCAGUGGUACUGCAAGAUUGGAAAUGAGAACGAGGAUUCAUCAGCCAGAGUGAAGAUUAAGGUCUUCAGUGGUCAGCCUGGGAGAUGAAUUGAGGUGUCAGAAUGGAACGGAUUACAAGAGCACUCUUCAAGAUUUCAGAGGAUGGGCGAUCUUAAGGUUUAAUUGGUGAUUAAACGCUAGCAUUGGUAAGCACAUUUUGUCAUCGGUGGGAUAUUAGAAAGCGACACGGAUUGGGAAUCCUUCAAUUCUCGCAUGCCAUGAAGACUUAGUCGAAUCUAAGUGGGGGAGAGACUUUCUAUAAGGUUCUUCAAAUGUGAGUUCUGGUUGCGCGGGGUGCAAUCUCUUGGCCACCUUGACAACCAGAAGGGUAUUCUAGUUGAUCCGGCCAAGAUAAAGGCCGUGAUGCAGUGGGAGAUUCUGAGGUCUCCAUCUGAGGUUCGGAGUCCGCUGGGUCUAGCGAGUUAUUAUCAGAGAUUUGUAUGGGAUUUCUACGAAAUUGCGGUUCCUUUGACCUGACUGACCAAGAAGUCGGUGGCCUUUUGUUGAGGGCUUGAAUAGCAGGCAGCCUUCAAUACUCUCAGACAGCAGUUGUGCGAGGCACUGAUUCUCAUCCUGCAAGAAGGUGUAGAUGAUUUCAUGGUUUACUGUGACGCUUUGAUCACGGGCAUGGGUACGGUACUGAUACAGUGGGUUCACAUGAUAGCAGGUUUCGGGAACUAGAUUUGAAUUCCGGUUAGGACUCUUGUUCAGUUGUAUGUUAGGUCGAGUGCGUGUUUGACCUAGUAUGGAAAGUGUUGUAAGACUACGGGGGUAGUGGUAGCAUUCACUAGCAGUCAGAUAGUUUGGGAAGUGUUGUAAGACUACGGGGGUAGCCAUAGCAUUCACUAGUGGUCAGUUAGUAUGGAAAAUGUUGUAACACUACGGGGGUAGCCGUAGCAUUCACUAGCAUUCAGUUAUCAUGUGGGUGUUGUAAGUCUGCGGGUGUAGCCGUAGCAUUCACCAAGUUGGCAGAUAGUGUUAGGGUGUUGUGAGUCUGUGUGUGUAGCCGUAGCAUUCACCAGGUUGGCAGAUAGUACUUGAGUGAUGUAAGUCUGCGAGUAUAGCCGUAGCAUUCGCUUGGUUGGUAGAUAGAUUGGGCGCGUUGUUAGGGCGCGGAAUGAACAGCGGUACGCACCAGCUUAGGUGCAACUUUGAGGAUAUGGAAAUCCAAGAAUCGGAUUUCGGAUUUAUCCAAAUGGAUUAGACCUGGUUAAGCCAGUAAUGAGACGGUAGGGACGUUAUUACUGUUAUGAGAUCAGGGAAGCAAUGGACUGUUUAAGGUCGUUUGUGAUGUAAGACUACCAUUGCUUAGGUAGCAAUCACUUUUAGUCCUGGAUUUGAGUAUUUCAGGAUCUGACGCAUGGACCCGAUUGGUUAGAUCGGAAAGUAGUGGAGACACAGUGGCAUGAUAACUAGUGGCAACUAGUUCCAGAGAAGGAUUUCGCUCAGAAGUCGUGUGAGGUGAAUAAGUAGCGAGUCCUUUGGCUCUGCAGUCGGGUGGAAACCCAGUAUUUCAGAGGAUUGGCAAGCGAAUUAAGACCCAGGAGGUCUUGGUAGCUUUUGGUAAGCAGAUAUGUAGCAGCGUAUACUGCUUCAGGCGGUUCAGUGUUCGAGCAGUUUCAACGUUUGGGCAGUGAUAGUAUGUGUGUUUUAGUUGCAUAUGUGCACGGAAUAGCUGGUUUAUUGGGGAGUGACAAGUUACCCACACCGGGAAUAGCUGAGCUUUAGCCGAGAAUAGGUGAUCUGCAAAGGUAAUUGGGUUUGUGACCUAGGUUUAUGGUGGGAACAACAUGCUAUCAGAAGUUAAGUAGUCAGUUGAGGGAUAAGCGGGCUGGUUCCAUCGGUAAUGAUUUAGUAUGAGUGGUCUACCAGGGAUUCAGACCAUCUCGAGACAGCAGAUUUCGAACAGAGUACAUGUGGUCUUGUUGCAAGGAAUUCGGCACCUGUGGAUUUUAGGGCUUUACGAGGAUUGGUCAUCGCUACCCUGGGAAUGCUACGGCAUGCCCAGAUUAGUGACCAUGCUACUAGAGUGGUUGGGCGAGCAAGGAAUGGUAAUAAAUGAUUUCGAGGACGAAAUCUAAUUUAAGUGGGGGAGAGUUGUAAUACCCUGUUUAUUUAUUAGAUUAAUAAAUAAAUAAAUGAAGAACUCGUAGCCCUAAAAUAAAUAAUUAUGUAUAAAAGGAUGGUCUCGAGGAGCUAUUUGUCACACUUUGAGAUAUUGGGGGUUAAAAGUAUAAAAUCCGUACUUAAUUUGUAAGUAUUAUUGAAGGUAGGGACUAAAUGUUAACUUCUAGGACUUCACUUAAAGAGAAUUUCGAGGCUAAGGGGUUGUAUGGUAAAUUAGGGAUCGGAUUAGAAAUGAAUUUAUGGAAGCAAGGGCCAAAGGGUAAAAUUCGUACUUAAAUUGAAAACAAAAUCUGUGAGGAGUGGCCGAUCCUGGAAAAGUGUAUCAAAGUUGUAUGAGGACACGGGAUAUACCCGGUGACCCCCGUUUCCCCUUCCCCAUCGUGGAUGAACACAAACCCUAAAUUGAAGGGAGCAUCUACAGCCGCUACCCCCUUAAGGAACUCGCGAGCCUCCACUACAAGACCGAGCCUCCUGUCGUCGCUACUUUCCAUUGGAACGCCACCCGCUGCCGGCAACGUCGUGAACAGCCAAGAGGUGCGAUGAAGACUGGAGAUUGGAGCUUAAGACGACGUCGCGCGGGCCAUGAGCAACCAGAAGACCCUCAGUAUGCCAACAACAUCUCAAUUCUUCAUUUCUCCUUGUGGGUUCGACGUCAGGACCAUUGUUGUCGACGACGAUGGCUCUUGGUCUCCACCUCAGCUCGUUCCAGCAUCACCAGCCGCCUAUUCGGUCGUUGGAAGUGGUGGUAUCAUGUCAGGAGUGGGUGGUUGGCUUCUCUUUCCGAGCGACAGGCGUGUAGAGGUGCGUGUUUCAAUUUGUGCGUGAAAUAUUGGCUGUAAGACACAAGAAGACCACCAUGGCAGCCAACCAUGGUGGUUGUCGCCAGGAAUGCUUUUUCUGCCGCCACAAGCCACCGCGAAAGGUGGUUGUGGGCGUGUUGUGGUGUUUUUGUUCAUUUUUUGUGAUGUUAUAAGGCUAAUGGAGCAUUCUAGGCUGGAGAUCUAAAGAUAGACCCCACCGCCACCACCAUGUGGGGUGUCNCAUUCGCCACCGUCGGCCGCCGCUAUGUCAUUGUCUAUAUGUGUUUGUAUUAGUGUGUUUGUGGUUGAUUAUUGGAGUUAUCAUUGUAAAAUGUAACUAUAAAGAAGAAUAAUGAAAAUAAAUUUAAAACCACCACCUUUAAGUGGUGGCUGCCGCCUCCUGCCGCCGUGUCGGGUGGCGGUGUCCUUAGUUGUGUUGGGAUUGCUAGUUUGGGGAUGUUUGGAAAAGGAACUAAAACCCUAAUAGGCCUGAAACCCUAAUGGGCCCAAGAAAGCUUAAUGGACUCUAAUGGACUCAAUAAAGCCCUAAUUGACAUUAAAGCCCAAACAUGUGUCUAAUGGGCUUAGUGAACCCUAAUGGAUCUAAUGACUUAGCUAUUGGGCCUAAUGGACUAAUGUGGGUUGGAAACCUUAAUUAGGGUUUGGAAAAACCUAAUGCAAUGAAACCCUAAUUUUGAGAAUUAAUCGGGAUACACGCACAUGAAUUAUUAAUAACUUGAAAUAUUAAAUAAUAAACUUUGGCAAAGAUUAAUCUAAGCGAUAAUGGACUUAAUGGAUUAAGUCCUUAAUGGGUUAAGUAGGAAACUUAACCCUAAUCAUCAUUUUAUGUGAAACCCUAAUUUCACUUGGGUUUAUUGUUGGGCCUUCCUUUUGGGCCUUGAUGAUCGGGUUAUUAAUCGUCCAUCCAAAGUCAAGUAAUUAGACUAGAAUAAUUUAAUGGGCCUACGGUAAGGCCCAUGUAAGGGGCAUGGGCCCAAUUUGGAAAAUUGGGCCAUAGAUGGGCCAUAGUUUGGGCUUGAAUGAUUAUAUGAUGUUGGGCNCCUAGGCCCAAUUUGGAAAAUUGGGCCAUAUGUUGGGUUUUGAUUUCCUAGUUGACCUUGGGCCUAUGGAUUGGGCCUUGGGCUUGAAUAAGCCAAGCCAGGGGUAAUGUAGUAAUUACCCAAAGAAUAUACGUAUGGUUAUCUAUUGGGACCUAAUUAUUAAUUGGAUGUUAUUUUGGUGUUGACAGUUCGGGAAUCUGUCAGCCAGCAGCUGGGGUCAAGUCUGCGGGACUUCAGCAAGUGUGGGAUUGUGUCUUCGGGACUUCAGCAAUGUGAGGUGAGUUACCUUCCAGUAGCGGUGGUUCUAAGGCCAUAAUGCCGGCCCACCAGUAGGAGACGUAUGAUAAAUGAUUUUCACUGUGAUAUCAUCUAGGUUUGCUACUACCUGAUAUGUUAUAUGCUAGCAUGAUAUGUUAUAUGUGAUAGUAGUAGAGUUUGGUUGUUAGGACCGGAGGGUAGUCGGACACCCCAGAUACGUCUGACAGUAUGUGAUGUUAUGUUUAUAUGCUAUCAUGACCUGUUAUAUGAGUUUAAGGUAGUAGGAGGGGAGCAGUCCCCGAGUUCGGUUAUUAGGACCGAAGGGUAGUUCAAACACCCUAGAUAUGUCUGAUAAUACGUUAUGUUAUGAUAUGUGAUAGUAGUAGUAGUAGGGGGUGAAAUAGUCCCUGAGGUUCGUUCGUUAGGACCGAAGGGUAGUCAGGACCCCAGAAUGGCUUGACAUCGGUAGGACGGCACCCCAAAAUGGCCGCAUGGGUAGGUCGGCACCCCUGAAAGGCCGUACCGGGUAGGUCGGGCACCCAAGAAAUGUCUGGCAGUAUGUAUGUUAUGUGAUUGUGUGGUAUGUGGUAUGAUGGGGGAACUCACUAAGCUUCGUUCUUACAGUUUUCAUUUUUGGUUUCGGGUACUUCGUGUUUAAAGGAAAGGAGUCAGGUUGAUCGUAGCGCAUCACACUAUGGUUUUCCGCACAUGAGAUCUUGGGGAUUGCACUCUGAUAUUAUUUUAUGAUAACACGUUUGAUUAUUUCUACUUUGGUUUUGACAUGACAUGAUAUUACGGAUGUUUUAUUACACUGUUGGUUUUAUAAUGACGUAUUUAAAAAUGAAAUUUUUGGCCUGU
rnacentral:lncRNA from 1 species